rnacentral:rRNA from 1 species
GUCCACGCUGUAAACGAUGCACACUAGGUGCUGGGCGGACGCCUCAGUGCCGGAGCUAACGUGGUAAGUGUGCCGCCUGGGGAGUAUGCUCGCAAGGGUGAAACUCAAAGGAAUUGACGGGGCCCGCACAAGCGGUGGAGCAUGUGGUUUAAUUCGAUGGUACGCGAGGAACCUUACCUGGGCUUGACAUAUGGUGGAAUACGGCAGAGAUGUCGUAGACCCGCAAGGGACUGCUAUACAGGUGCUGCAUGGCUGUCGU